AACGAACGCUGGCGGCAGGCUUAACACAUGCAAGUCGAGCGGGCCCUUCGGGGUCAGCGGCGGACGGGUGAGUAACGCGUGGGAACGUGCCCUCUUCUACGGAAUAGCCCAGGGAAACUUGGAUUAAUGCCGUAUACGCCCGAAAGGGGAAAGAUUUAUCGGAGGAGGAUCGGCCCGCGUUGGAUUAGGUAGUUGGUGGGGUAAUGGCCUACCAAGCCGACGAUCCAUAGCUGGUUUGAGAGGAUGAUCAGCCACACUGGGACUGAGACACGGCCCAGACUCCUACGGGAGGCAGCAGUGGGGAAUCUUGGACAAUGGGGGCAACCCUGAUCCAGCCAUGCCGCGUGAACGAUGAAGGCCUUAGGGUUGUAAAGUUCUUUCAGCUGGGAAGAUAAUGACGGUACCAGCAGAAGAAGCCCCGGCUAACUCCGUGCCAGCCGCCGCAGUAA
rnacentral:rRNA from 1 species